AGGGGGUGGUUGGCGGUAUCACUGGUACUGAAGUAAUGCCUGUCCACAGUAGCAGACAUGCCGCCCUCCUCCCCAUAC
ncrna:Eptesicus fuscus (big brown bat) microRNA efu-mir-9186d precursor (efu-mir-9186d-1)